rnacentral:misc_RNA from 1 species
GCAAACUUGGUCAUUUAGAGGAAGUAAAAGUCGUAACAAGGUUUCCGUAGGUGAACCUGCGGAAGGAUCAUUACCGAGCGAGAGUGGACCCCUCCCUCCCUCCCCCCUUGCGCCAUUGGUUAUGGGGUGGGGGUGCCCGGGGGGUUCCCCGUUCCACCCGUGUCUACCGUACCCUGUUGCUUCGGCGGGCCUGCCUGCCUCCCCUGUUGGAGGGGGCUGCCGGGGGGCAUCUGCCCCCGGGCUCGUGCCCGCCGAGGACCCCUGUGAACGCUGUUGUUUAAAGUAUUGCAGUCUGAGUGUGAUAUUGAAUCAAUCAAAACUUUCAACAAUGGAUCUCUUGGUUCCGGCAUCGAUGAAGAACGCAGC